rnacentral:rRNA from 1 species
AGAUUAAGUUAUUAAGGGCGCACGGUGGAUGCCUUGGCACUAGAAGCCGAAGAAGGACGUUACUAACGACGAUAUGCUUUGGGUAGCUGUAAGUAAGCGUUGAUCCAGAGAUUUCCGAAUGGGGGAACCCAACAUGAGUGAUGUCAUGUUAUCGACAUGUGAAUUCAUAGCAUGUCAGAAGGCAGACCCGGAGAACUGAAACAUCUUAGUACCCGGAGGAAGAGAAAGAAAAAUCGAUUCCCUGAGUAGCGGCGAGCGAAACGGGAAGAGCCCAAACCAACAAGCUUGCUUGUUGGGGUUGUAGGACACUCUAUACGGAGUUACAAAAGAACAUGUUAGACGAAUCAUCUGGAAAGAUGAAUCAAAGAAGGUAAAAAUCCUGUAGUCGAAAACAUAUUCUCUCUUGAGUGGAUCCUGAGUACGACGGAGCACGUGAAAUUCCGUCGGAAUCUAGGAGGACCAUCUCCUAAGGCUAAAUACUCUCUAGUGACCGAUAGUGAACCAGUACCGUGAGGGAAAGGUGAAAAGUACCCCGGAAGGGGAGUGAAAGAGAACUUGAAACCGUGUGCUUACAAGUAGUCAGAGCCCGUUAAUGGGUGAUGGCGUGCCUUUUGUAGAAUGAACCGGCGAGUUACGAUCUGAUGCAAGGUUAAGCAGCGAAUGUGGAGCCGUAGCGAAAGCGAGUCUGAAUAGGGCGUUGAGUAUUUGGUCGUAGACCCGAAACCAGGUGAUCUACCCUUGGUCAGGUUGAAGUUCAGGUAACACUGAAUGGAGGACCGAACCGACUUACGUUGAAAAGUGAGCGGAUGAACUGAGGGUAGCGGAGAAAUUCCAAUCGAACUUGGAGAUAGCUGGUUCUCUCCGAAAUAGCUUUAGGGCUAGCCUCAAGUGAUGAUUAUUGGAGGUAGAGCACUGUUUGGACGAGGGGCCCCUCUCGGGUUACCGAAUUCAGACAAACUCCGAAUGCCAAUCAAUUUAACUUGGGAGUCAGAACAUGGGUGAUAAGGUCCGUGUUCGAAAGGGAAACAGCCCAGACCACCAGCUAAGGUCCCAAAAUAUAUGUUAAGUGGAAAAGGAUGUGGCGUUGCCCAGACAACUAGGAUGUUGGCUUAGAAGCAGCCAUCAUUUAAAGAGUGCGUAAUAGCUCACUAGUCGAGUGACACUGCGCCGAAAAUGUACCGGGGCUAAACAUAUUACCG